CGUUCUCUCCAGGAUGCCCCGUGAUCUGCUUUUGAGCAAACCCAAAGGAAUCUCAGACAUCCAUUCCUUUCACCUCUGUGCAGUAUCAACACUGUUAACCAUGGUCCAGCUCUCAUCAUCUCAAGUCUGAAUUCUGCAAUAGAAUCAACCCUGGUCCACCAUGGUUCCCUGAAGCUUGUAAAAUAUGACUUUCAACAUGUGAUUAUGCUGUCCAAAAACCUCUCUGUUUGUAUAAGAUUAAGAUCAAGAUAACACAUGAACCCUUCAAGAUUCUUGAGAAUCUAAACGCCUCCAGUUACUUAGUUAGUAAAACUAAAGUCAAUGAAAUUCA